GACGAACGCUGGCGGCGUGCCUAAUACAUGCAAGUCGAGCGGACUGAAUGGGAGCUUGCUCUUGUUCGGUCAGCGGCGGACGGGUGAGUAACACGUGGGCAACCUGCCCGCAGGACCGGGAUAACUCCGGGAAACCGGAGCUAAUACCGGAUAACACCGAAGACCGCAUGGUCUUUGGUUGAAAGGCGGCGCAAGCUGCCACUUGCGGAUGGGCCCGCGGCGCAUUAGCUAGUUGGUGAGGUAACGGCUCACCAAGGCGACGAUGCGUAGCCGGCCUGAGAGGGUGACCGGCCACACUGGGACUGAGACACGGCCCAGACUCCUACGGGAGGCAGCAGUAGGGAAUCUUCCGCAAUGGGCGAAAGCCUGACGGAGCGACGCCGCGUGAGCGAAGAAGGCCUUCGGGUCGUAAAGCUCUGUUGUGAGGGACGAAGGAGCGCCGUUUGAAGAAGGCGGCGCGGUGACGGUACCUCACGAGGAAGCCCCGGCUAACUACGUG
rnacentral:rRNA from 1 species